rnacentral:rRNA from 1 species
AUGGUCUAUAUAUGCAUGCGGACUAGAAAGACCCCCCCCACACACACACACAAAGAGAGAGAGAGAGAGAGAGAGAGAGAGAGAUGGAGAGAAAGGGAGAGGGACGAACAAGGUUUUUGUGUCAGAUGCGUGCGACAGAAUUGA